CGUCAUUCCUACUUCUUCCACCGCUUCUUUUGCCUUGUACCUCAAAGAUAGACAUCCAUUCACUCACCCAAAGGUCAAAACAAAUCUGCACUUUUGCAAUAGCUUCAAAGAGAUUGCGGUGAACCCACUGACCUCUAAUUGAAAUUCCUUAGUUACUUGCAGCUAUCUCCAGAAAGGAGUCCAUGACUGUUAGUGAGAUACCAGAAUUGUCUUGAGCAGACAAUGUUUGGAGCUUUGUUUUGCUUGUGAAGUGUGUGCUGGACCUUGCUUUCCUUGUUUAAAUGAUUGCUCCCUGGUACUGGAUGUUCAUCAUUCCAGAAUAUUAUUCUUUUUGUUUUUGCAAUGUACAUAUGUUGUAAAUGACUGAAGUGUUAACUUGGAGCAUUCUUUUGGAGUGGAAAACUUUGAAAGCAAGUUGCUCUUUUGAGCUUAUAAAAGGAAUUACUUUUCGCUCA